CGAAACAUAACCAAAUACUGACAUAAGAGUGGAUUUUGGUUUUUGAAGUCCCAAAUAGAACUAACGGAAAAUGUCAAUAAUAGUUUCGUGGCAUGUGUACGGGCUUGGGAAAUGGGAACAUUUUUGUUAAAGUGUAUAAUAAAUUUAAACAUCUAACGAGGUUUAUAAUUAAAAAAUAAGAAUUACUUCAUUAACAUAGUGAUUGUUGUAUUCCUGGAGAUGCUUGUUGACCUUAUUGUGUACAACUGUUGCGAUUUUUGUUACAAUUACUCAAAAUGUUCCAGAUGAAAUUACGACCUAUUUUCAAAUAUACAUUUACUGCUGCUGUUAUUGGGGGCACAGCACUAAGUUUGAGAUCUAACCAAUAUCAGCUAGAUUCUAUAGGUAUUGUGAGAUUUAGCAGAGCAGCUUCAACAGUUUUACAAAUAGGAAUUAUUUAUCAAAAAGAUUUAUAUGGAAAACGAUUGGACAAGAAAACAAAAGAAUAUAAAGAACUGAAAUCAAUUUGCCAUAAAAGAAGUGCAGAGAAGUUAUUAAAUUUGUGUUGUACCAAUAAAGGUGUUUAUAUCAAAGUAGGGCAACAUAUUGCAGCACUAGAAUAUUUAUUACCCACAGAGUAUGUUGAAACUAUGAAAGUUUUGCACUGCCAUGCUCCCACAAAUAAAAUAGAAGAAGUAUAUAAUGUUAUUAGGGAAGAUUUGAAGAAGGAUCCUUUUGAAGUAUUUCAAAGCAUCUAUCCUGAACCUUUGGGUACUGCCUCCCUUGCGCAAGUUCACAAAGCUGUACUGAAAGAUGGUACAACAGUUGCAGUAAAAGUACAACAUCCCUACGUACAAGGCAACUCUAGAGUAGAUAUGAAAACAAUGGAGUAUUUAGUAAAACUGAUGAGUUGGGUCUUUCCGGAGUUCAAAUUUCAAUGGUUAGUCGAUGAAUCAAAGAAAAAUAUUCCACAAGAAUUAAAUUUUGCCCAAGAAGGUCACAAUGCUGAAAAAAUAGCCAAAAUGUUUGAAGAUGUGCCAUGGUUGAAGAUUCCAAAAGUUAGAUGGGACUUAACAACUCCUAGAGUGCUUACCAUGGACUUCGUAGAAGGGGGACAGGUUAAUGAUCUGAAUUACAUCAGAGAGAAUAAAAUAGAUCCCAUUGAAAUAUCUGAUAAAUUGGGACAGUUAUAUUCAAAGAUGAUUUUUAUUCAUGGUUUCGUACACAGUGAUCCUCAUCCUGGGAAUAUUCUGGUAAAAAAAUCUGAGAAAGGACGUUGUGAUAUUGUUUUGUUGGAUCAUGGAUUAUAUGCGAACCUGAAGGAUGAAUUUCGAGUAGAGUAUGCAAACUUAUGGUUGAGCAUUCUAAACAGAGACCGUAAAGCCAUGAGGGAGCACUGUCGAAAUUUAGGUAUAGAUGGUGAUGCAUAUGGAUUGUUUACAUGCAUGAUCACAGGAAGAACUUGGGACAGCAUUGUUAGAGGUAUUGAUAAGGAGCAGCUGUCUAAAAACGAAGUGAAAUUCAUGAAACAGACUUUUACUGGAAUUCUUCCACAAAUAUCUGAAAUUCUACAAAACGUUAACCCACAAAUGCUGUUAGUUUUUAAAACCAAUGACUUAAUCAGAGGUAUUGAACACACUUUGCGAACUGGGGCUCGCAUGGGAGCGUUUCGUGUGAUGUCAGAGUACUGUGUCAAAUCAGUGUACAACCAACGAUACAGAAGAUCGGAAAAUAAGCUGGAAUCAAUGAGAAUCUCGAUAUUACAGUUCUGGGCUCUACUCAAAAUUAACAUUUAUUACACCUUUUUGAAUUUGAAGCAACUCUCUAGAAAUAUUCUCAGCUGAUAAGCUGAAAUCGCACAGGUUUACUGCUUCAGGAAAUGUCAGGGGCUAGGUUGCUCCAUGGUUAUCAAUAAACGUUUCCCAAGCUUGAAACAAGAACAUAUUCCUGAAUAUGUAUAUGAAAUUAUUAGUGGUACUCGGCUGUGUCAGGAAUGUAACGUUUCAACUAAGGAGACAAAGAAAAAGAAAUAAAACAUUAAUUUUGA